rnacentral:lncRNA from 1 species
UACAAUGUAUUGUGUAACCAGAUGCUCCGCAGGGCACAGCUUUAUACGACCGCAGAGGUUGAACCCUGAACGGUUGGGGCAAGUAUGGACACAACAUUCAAGCUGGAUUCAGAUCUAAAUUUGGAUUGUGAUUAAAUAGUUGACACAGCAUAGGUUUCUGACACAGAAUGAAUGUGGUCUAAUGAACUUAAAUUUUUUUUUUUUGCCUUUGAGCAAUUCACUAUGCUGUUGAAAAAAUGUUUGAAGAAAUUUUCUUUUUAUUUAUGAAAUCUGAAAUAAGAAAAAUUUAACCCCCACCCCCAUUUUUUUUUUCACAUCCCCCUUUCCCUUUUUCUAAAACUGAUCUCAAUUCAAAUUUCUAAUGGAGUUUGCAACAAUAACUACUCAUUUAAAUACAUCAUAAAAUAUU